AAAAUAUACCUAUCAAUCUAGAGCAUAAUAUAUAAAAACAAACCUUAGUACGGCUUCAGAGUCGUUGCAAUUAAGGUGUUUUGGUAAACUGAAUAAAUAUUCAGUUUUCAGUGGUCGUGUUUUAACGAUGAAGUUCUACAUUUUGGCGUUUGUCCUGGCAGUUGCUGAUGCCGGUUUAAUUUUUGGUGACACAAACUGUGUGAUCAUUCACAAUGUGAACUUCGAAAAAGAAAUCCUCAAAAGUGAUGUUCAGAGUCCAUACCAACUUGCUAUCGAUCAUGAUACCAAUACUUUGUUCUUCAGCUACACUGCGAGGACUGACGAAAUGUUCAAAAUUGCUUACCUGAGUCUGAAGACUGGUGAUUUUGGUAUCGUUUCUGGUAUCCACGGGGGCUUUGCAACCGCAAUAGAUAGAAUGAGUCACGUUAUUUAUAUGGGAGGUGAUGAUGGCAUAUAUAGAUUUGAUUACGAUAACAAGGAUGCCACUAAUCUGCAUAUCAACGAAAACUCAAACAUAUGGCAAAUGUUCUACAAAAAUGCUCUGUAUUUCACUACAUACCCCGAAGAGAAGGCAUACGUUUACAAAUCAAAGAAACUCUACGAAAUUGCUGAUUUACUGAACGUCAAAGUGAUGCUGAUUGCUGUGAAUAGACAGGACAAUUUGGUGUAUACUAAUUCUUCUGGAGUGUUUUUGUAUAGCAAAACUGAUGGAAGCACUAUCCAGCUUAACAAUGGAGUUGCCAAUGGAAUCACAGCUGAUAUUGAAGGUAACUUAUACUUCUCAACUGCGAGCGCUAUCUAUUCAAUCGAUGACAAAACAAAUGCUGUUGAAAGAUUAGCUCGACUGGAAAAUACUUACGGCAUGGCUAUAGAUAACGCUGGAAACAUUAUUUAUGCAACGGAAGAUAGUAUAAUCAGACUCAAACCUUCCAGGAAAGUGUGUAUUGAUGAUAAAUUGUUUUCGAAAAGUGUAGAUGAAGUAUCCGCCAGCUUUCACACUUAGAAACAAUUAAUUUGUAAUGAAAUCUUUGUUAUAACUUUUGUUUAUUCCUUUGUUAGCUUCAUACAUGCAAUUUAUUAUAAUGUAACUAAAUAACUUUAAAUAUUGAAACGUCAAAAGUGAGUUAGCACUAUUAAUGUUUUGCCUACUUUAAGAGAACUUGACUAAAAUGCUUGUUUCUAAUAUUAAGACAUCAAUUCCUAACGAAUGUACAAAAUUAUAAGACUCGUCUGUAAAAUAAAUUUUGUUACAAAAAG